CUUACAUGUGAGUGUAAAAUAUAAAAAUAUUAGGGAUGGAAUAGUUAAUGGUAAUUGAUGGUUGAAGUGGUUGAAGGCAAUGUAGAGGGAGAGGGUGGCAGUAUUAGUAAAGUUGGGGUCCAUUCUCUUAGUAUGUGCUUUGUGGGGUUGUCAGAUGUGUUUGAAUCGGUUUUGGAGCGCGAAUCUCCAGGGAGCUGGUAGCUUUUCGGAGUGUUUCUCGUUAAGGGGGUUUCGGUUUUUUCCCUUCUGUGAGUCUCCAGGGCUUCCCGGAUUGGCCCUUGUUGACCGUUCUCCGUGUGUUUUAUUGUCCUGGCUUCUUCCCGGAGUGGUUUGUGGUUGGAGGCAUGGCAUGCUGCGGCUGGGCCCGUGGACAUGUUGCCUAGUCGUGUGUCUCUUUGAUGUUCU
rnacentral:lncRNA from 1 species